rnacentral:rRNA from 1 species
UACAGAGGUGGCAAGCGUUGUUCGGAAUUACUGGGCGUAAAGGGCGCGUAGGCGGUCUUGUAAGUCCUGUGUGAAAUCCCUCGGCUCAACUGAGGAACUGCACGGGAAACUGCUUGGCUUGAGUUCGGGAGAGGGAAGCGGAAUUCCGGGUGUAGCGGUGGAAAUGACGUAGAUAUCCGGAGGAACACCGGUGGCGAAGGCGGCUUCCUGGACCGACACUGACGCUGAGGCGCGAAAGCUAGGGGAGCAAACGGG